GGGCGGGGGCGGGGCGGGGCGGGGUGGGGCCCGAUGGGUCAAUUGGCCUCCGGGGUGGGGGGGGGUUGCUUCCUGUCCGCCUGAACUUGGCUGACCCUGGCGGCUUCCUUCUGGGCCACCAUCCUAAAAGAGGUGGGAAGGCCUUUGGAUCUCUUGGCAGACCCCAGGGUCCCUGGGCUGGGGAGGGGGCUGGAAGAGUGCUGAGGGGCAGAGCCCUGACUGCUCCUAGAAGGAAGUGUAUAUGUUUGGCACCAUACCCUGUGCCCCACCUCCUAGAGUGAAGCCCCAGGGGACUCCCCACCAGGAAUCAGCACAGCUGGAAGCCCCAGAGAGAGAGUCCCUGGCUAAAGUCCUUGUUACUGCAGCCUGAAGAGUGACCUCUUGGGGUCGUCUCAGCCCCCACGGACACCCUCAAAACAUGGAGCAUCCUCAGGCCAACCUUCCAGCCCGGAACUAUCAGGACGCCCUGGAUCAGCUCAAGCAGCACUUCCCCAGGUGAGGACAAUCCCCGGGGUCUGGAGGCACCGCUGUGGCCGGAAGUCCCACAGAGGGAAAGAACCCCAACUUUGUCUCCAUGGCCCAAAAUGCAGGACCAGUGUGGGUGGCGACCAUGUUGGAGGGUGACGCAGAAGGAAAGGAAAACCAGUAAUGCCAAUCCUGGCUUUCAUUUCAAUUUUUGACUGUGUGUGGUUCAGUGUGGAUUUGCUCUCAUUCAAUUAUAUUUUGUAAAAUACUGC
rnacentral:lncRNA from 1 species